rnacentral:misc_RNA from 1 species
GGAGAUCAAGACAACACAAAGUAAAGCAACAUAGUAACCAUUUCACCUAAACCCAGAGAGUUCGAAGCUACGCCUUCAGUUCCUGGCUCCGCCGCCGCGACCGCCAAAGCCACUUCCACCAAACCCACCGCCACCGCGUCCUGCAUACGCCGGCUGCGCCGGGGCUUCAACCUGCCUCUGCACACCCGGCAGAUCAGACAUCCCCAGCGACUCGAGCAUCUCCAGAGUCUCCUUGUCCACAAUAAUCUCGUCAACCUUGAUGGCGGACUCGUCGGGGACGAAGUCCAUGCGGCGCUCGCGCUCCUCCUCCUGGAGCUUGAGCGAGAUGCCGCGGACUGGGCCGCGCUGGAUCCGGCGCAUAAGGUGGGUGGAGAAGCCGGCGAUCUUGUUGCGGAGGCGCUUGGAGGGGAUGAUGGCGACCUCCUGAAGGACCUUCUUGUUGGUGUGGAAGUCGAGGGUCAUGCGAGAGUAGUAGCGCUCGAUCACCUGGCGGGAGGACUUCUUCACGGUCUUGGUGCGGACGCGACCCAUGGUGUUCGCCGCCGGUGAGGAUUCGCCGCCGCCGGUGGGAGGUUAGGGUUAGGGUUUCGGUCUAUCUGUGGCGG